UGUGUGUGUAUUGUACAUUUCAGAAUGACAAAGCCAAAAUUCAGGCCUUGCCCUGCUUGCCAUGUCAAGAACCAGGCCAGUAGGAAGUGCUGCAAUGCCUGCUACGCAAGCCUCAGCAAUUUUAAUAAGAUGGAGGCCCUCAAAGACAGGCUGGAUAAUGAGUGGGGGCAGGGGGUCUGGAAAAACCGCAAUGCAGCAAGAGUGGUUUCUUCUGCCCAAGUUGCAGUGCAGAAACUUGCUGCUUUGGGCUAAAUGCCCAUUUUAUUUAUGGGCAGAAAAAAAAAAAAUUGGUGAUCGCGGAUAUAUGUGCUGGAAUGCCACUAACUGAGGGCACAUGACCUUUUGUUGAUGCCAUGAAGAAGGCUUAUGAGUAUUUACUUAUAAAGCAAGAUGUCUCAGCCACAGACCCAGUAUGACCAUCAGAUCCAAACCCAAACCCAUCCUGAACAGCAGAUCCAGACCCAGCCUGACCAGCAGGUCCAGACUCAGCCUGACCAGCAGAUCGAGACCUAGCCUGACCAGCAGAUCGAGACCUAGCCUGACCAGCAGAUCGAGACCCAGCCUGACCAGCAGAUCCAGACCCAGCCUGACCAGCAGGUCCAGACCCAGCCUGACCAGCAGAUCGAGACCCAGCCUGACCAGCAGAUCGAGACCCAGCCUGACCAGGAGAUCGAGACCCAGCCUGACCAGCAGGUCCAGACCCAGCCUGACCAGCAGGUCCAGACUCAGCCUGACCAGCAGAUCGAGACCCAGCCUGACCAGCAGAUCGAGACCCAGCCUGACCAGCAGAUCCAGACCCAGCCUGACCAGCAGGUCCAGACCCAGCCUGACCAGCAGGUCCAGACUCAGCCUGACCAGCAGAUCGAGACCCAGCCUGACCAGGAGAUCGAGACCCAGCCUGACCAGCAGAUAAAGAUGUCUUUGGAUUUCCUCACUGAUUUUUGCGCUGGUGUCAUAUAUCACUCUGCAUUUUGCAUUGAAUUGACCUACACCAAUGUUCCAUUAGUGCGAAGAUAGAUUUAUCAAACUCUUGCCUCUUUGCUAUUGCCGUACCACAACUGUGUGGUUAUCCAACCAACCUCUCUCUUACUUGUGCUAUAUUGUUUAAACAUUUUACAAUGGCCAGUGUGAUCCACAUCUGCCUUUCGCAUAUCUGUGAAAAAGAACACGCAUACACACACAUUAUAAGAAUUGGACCUGGGUUCCCAGACACACUGCACAUUGAUGGUGCUGGCACUGUAACCUGUUUUAACCCAGCACAAGUUCCGUGAUUAAUGUUGAUUCCAUAUUCUGUGGAACCCUGCUUAGUAUAAGUUAUGGGUUCAUAUAAAUACACAAGGCCUUAGAUCAAAUGCAGUACUUCUAUUUAUUGAUUACCAUUUGUUUGUCAACAAAACCUUUUUGCCUUUGUCGUCUCAGGAUACCGAAAAUGCAGUAGGCAAAAAGUGUGGCAAUACGACAUGAUUGUUGACAAAAGAAUGACAGA